UACGAAGGGGGCUAGCGUUGCUCGGAAUCACUGGGCGUAAAGGGUGCGUAGGCGGGUCGUUAAGUCGGGUGUGAAAUCCUGGAGCUCAACUCCAGAACUGCCUUUAAAACUGCAUCGCUAGAAUUGUGGAGAGGUAAGUGGAAUUCCGAGUGUAGAGGUGAAAUUCGUAGAUAUUCGGAAGAACACCAGUGGCGAAGGCGACUUACUGGACACAUAUUGACGCUGAGGUGCGAAAGCGUGGGGAGCAAACAGG
rnacentral:rRNA from 1 species